AACGAACGCUGGCGGCAUGCCUAACACAUGCAAGUCGAACGAGACCUUCGGGUCUAGUGGCGCACGGGUGCGUAACGCGUGGGAACCUGCCCUUAGGUUCGGAAUAACUCCCCGAAAGGGGUGCUAAUACCGGAUAAUGUCUUCGGACCAAAGAUUUAUCGCCUUUGGAUGGGCCCGCGUUGGAUUAGCUAGUUGGUAGGGUAAAAGCCUACCAAGGCGACGAUCCAUAGCUGGUCUGAGAGGAUGAUCAACCACACUGGGACUGAGACACGGCCCGGACUCCUACGGGAGGCAGCAGUGGGGAAUAUUGGACAAUGGGCGAAAGCCUGAUCCAGCAAUGCCGCGUGAGUGAUGAAGGCCUUAGGGUUGUAAAGCUCUUUUACCCGGGAUGAUAAUGACAGUACCGGGAGAAUAAGCUCCGGCUAACUCCGUG
rnacentral:rRNA from 1 species